rnacentral:rRNA from 1 species
GACGAACGCUGGCGGCGUGCUUAACACAUGCAAGUCGAACGGAAAGGCCCCUUUGGGGGUCCUCGAGUGGCGAACGGGUGAGUAACACGUGAGUAACCUGCCCUUGACUUCGGGAUAACUUCAGGAAACUGGGGCAAAUACCGGUAAGGAAUCCUUGCGCCUUGGGGGGGGUGGGAAAGCUCCGGCGGUUUUGGAUGGAUUGGCGGGCUAUCGGCUUGUUGGGGGGGUGGUGGGUUACAAAGGCUUUGAGGGGUAGCCGGCCUGAGGGGGCGACCGGCCACAUUGGGACUGAGGUGCGGCCCAGGCUCCUACGGGGGGCAGCAGUGGGGAAUAUUGCACAAUGGGCGGAAGCCUGAUGCAGCAGCGCCGCGUGCGGGAUGACGGCCUUCGGGUUGUAAAACGCUUUCAGCAGGGGCGAAGCUUGUGGUGACGGUACCUACAGAAGAAGCACCGGCUAACUACGUG